AAUUCCAAGUAACAAUAUCAAGCUUUGUGAAAUUAAUUUAUUGAGCAAACAGAUAAUUAAAAAGUUCGUUAAUGGAAUGAAAAUGGAGAAAAGUUAAUGGCCUACAAAUGUCAGGUCGGAGAAAGUUAAUGGCCUACAAAUGUCAGGUCGGAGAAAGUUAAUGGUCUACAACAAAUGUCAGGUCCUUACUGUUAUUGGAAAAAAAAAAACAGCAACAUUGUCCCUUUGAUUUCACUUGGUCCUUUUGACAAGACACGUCACUUUUUGAGGAGUCUCUUUAGCAGCUGCCUAAUAAAAGUCCAAUCCCAAAUUAUUUUACAACAAUUUCUCGCCGGAGCUCAACUGGCUCCAUAAAACUAUGAAAGCAAGUCUGAAGAUGUCAUUAAGUACAUUACACCCACGAACAGGCCUGCACACAAUAGAUAAUAGUGGGAUUCUGUCAAUUUUCUCUACAAAUUAUAACCAGGAAUGGGGGUCUUUACCAUUGACGGCCCCCAGGAGAUUGUACUUUAAACACCCUACUGUCAGACCAAUCUCACUAGUUCCAAGGAGAGCAUCAAGCCAACCACAUUGACUUACCUAAAUAUAUUUUUGUUUUCAGAUAGGGCUAAAAAUAUUCUUUGCAAGGCGUUUAGAAUUUUCCCCCCUUGUAUUUUUUUUAAAACACCUGGCACACUAGUAAGUUUCUUAAGAGUAGGAUUGAAAUGAAGUCAUUUUUGUUUAUUAUCCUCCAUGUAGAGCACAAGGAACUAGACUUUACUUAACAAUGGCAAGCUAGUGUAAACACAUCAGAAUGAUUUUAUUUUCUCUGGAUCAACUUUGCCAUUAGUUUAUACAAUGAAAAAUUAAUGAAUAUAUUGAUUUAAAACAAAACAAAAAUCAACAUUAGAUCAUACAAUAAGUAAUCUUAACUUAAAUUUGAUAAGGUAUUUCCACAAAAACCCCCAACAAAACAAACAUAAACAAAAAGGAAAUAAGCAACAAUAUCCAAAUGCAUUGUUCAUUUGCCCCAUAAUGAAGUUAGAGAUGUUAGUUACAGUUGACCCACUAAGGAACCUAACUUGGUGUGGUUAGGUCAAUCUUAGUUGUGGUUGACUAUUGAUGUAACUAGAUACAAGUUGAAAGAGGAGAAUAUGAUGGAAAUAAAUUAAUAACAUAAAUAUAGAAACAUAAAUAUAGCUUGAAAACUUGAAGUCUGGGAUACAGUCAGUGAAUACAUGCACAGAAGAGGGUUGGGUUAUUUCAGAACAUAUGGUUUCUUUUCAUGAUUCUUUUCUUGAGAGUCAAACAAAUUAUUUCAUACUAUCUAAUGUUAUAGACGACUAACAAUGUUACACAAUACAAUGUCACACAAAACUUCUUCACCCAGAUCUGAAGCUGAGUCUUCAGCACAAUGUCUUUGAGUUGACAUUAAGAUUUCCUGACCAAAAGAUCAAACAGCUGAACAGAUUUAGGAACAUUAUACAAUAAAUACAACAGUAAUUCAACCCAGGACCUUUGGGGAGGAAUACCAUGACCAAAGCCACUCAGCCACCUAAUCUUCUAUUACUGAAGAUGAAUACAUGUAAUGUCUAGUCUAUAACACAGAGACAAAUAAUGGCCAGAAAGACAAAAAAAAAACAACAACAAAAUUCUAAUCAGGAUAGAAACCAAGUGUCAAAUUGUAGAAUACAGUACAAUCUCUUAAUCCAUAUAAAAUAUUUAUAUGAAAUAAAUGAAGUAACAAUGACAUCCACACACAAAUAAACUAUUGCCAAUUCAAAUCAAUUUGACCAAACAAGUGACAGUGAUAAAAUGGGUAUGUUGAACAAGUGGUGAAAUAAGAAACCAACCUGGCACACCACUUUAUUGUAAAGAAAACAGACAAGGUUAAAAAUGAAUAAUGUAAUGACUACUUUUGUUGUGUGCAUUCAAACACAUAUGUAUCUGAAACUGCUCUAAAGAACUGAUGCUUUUAGUAAUGAUACCUCAAGAAACUACAGGGCUAAGGGCAAGAAGCGACCCAACAUACCACACACACACACACACCUUCCCAUCACAGCCUAAGAUGAUCCAAAUGUCUCUCAGUUCCACCACACCAGUCAACAAGGAGUCAGUUCUCAUGACAACUGAAGGAUGUGGGCUCAUGAGCCAUUUCAAAACUCAUUAACAGUAGAGUAUAAGCUACCCGAGCUACUUCAAUGUACAAUCCAGAUUCAGAAGCAAAAAGAUAAUUCUUCUUUCCAGUUUAAGAAAACAUUUUUUUUUACACUGGAUAAUAAUAUACAAAAAUAUAUUUGUUAUAGUCAAUAAAUAUCAACCUAUUACAUUACUGCUAACUACAGAGACAAUACAUGUUUUUAAUCAUUAAAUUAGUAGCAAUAAACACUCAAUGUUAGUUGUACAUAACUCUAUGGACAAAUAAACAACUUGUAUAAAUGUAUAUAUAAUUAUAUAGAUGUAGUAUAAAUAUUAAAUGUCUACAUUUUGUAUAUUUAUAUAUAUAUAUAUAUCAUACAUAACCAUUUUGUCAUUCAUUCCUUGAUGCUAUAUUAUGAAUACACCUGAUACUCUGGGAACACAGGCCGUUAAGGAAAGAUAAGAUGGCGGAGAAUUAGCUAUUUUUUUUUACAAUGUAACAAUUUUCCCACAUCACAAUGAACUUUUUAGGAUUUUAUAGAGGGGGUGUGGGAGUGGUUAAGGUGAAUGGCUUUCAAAGAAAAAAAAAAAAGGGGAUACAGACAACAGAAAAAAAAAAGCAAAGGGAGGUGAUAACAAUUUCUUCUUUCUUCCAUGAUUAUCACCCAUUGUACUAGAAAGUUAUUGAUGCAUUUUGGGGUCAAGGGAUAAUAAUGGUAGGACAAAUCAAACAACCAGUGAAAGGUGUAACACUGCAAUCACAGUUUUCAUUGAUAACUCUCUCAUACUAGAGCUGUGUAAACACCUGCACUGAUCUCCAACCCUGAACAAUGAUUCAAUUAGCAUUCAAAGCACAACAAGGUUAUAGCAUUAAAUAAUUCAUUCCUCAAGUUCAGCUAUUAACAAUCAUGUUUAUAAAGUAAAUUGGUUUCCAAAACAGAGUCCUUGUGACACAAGAAAAUGUUAACAAGAUGUAUAAUUCAAACAGUUUAUAUUUAUGCUGGCUAAUGUGACAUCAGUCUGUUAGCUACUGAAAUAGAAAUAGAUGUUGUUUUUU